AACAAAGCGUUGAACGGAAUAAGUAGUCCGCUGUCACUGUUCUUAGAGAGCUUUCGGCCGGUGAAAGAAAGCACAAACAGAUGGAUGAAUUACCUCCCGGAGCUUCCACCGUGAACAUUUAGUAGCGGUUGACGUAACCGUCGUUACCGGUUUAAGUGGAGAAAUCAAAUUUCUCAAGUUUGGGUGGUACCGCGCGUUAGCGUCCCUGCA
rnacentral:ncRNA from 1 species